ACGGGUGCGUAGCGCGUGGGAAUCUGCCCUUAGGUUCUUAAUAACAGCUGGAAACGGCUGCUAAUACCCGAUGAUAUCGCGAGAUCAAAGAUUUAUCGCCUGAGGAUGAGCCCGCGUUGGAUUAGGUAGUUGGUGGGGUAAAGGCCUACCAAGCCGACGAUCCAUAGCUGGUCUGAUGGUUGAUCAGCCACACUGGGACUGAGACACGGCCCAGGCUCCUACGGGAGGCAGCAGUGGGGAAUAUUGGAAUUGGGCGCAUGCCUGAUCCCCUGUGCCGCGUGAGUGAUGAAGGCCCUAGGGUUGUAAAGCUCUUUUACCCCUUUUCAUAAUGACUGUACCGGGAGAAUAAGCCCCGGCUAACUCCGUGCUAACUCUGUGCGGUAAUACGGAGGGGGCUAGCGUUGUUCGGAAUUACUGGGCGUAAAGCGCACGUAAGCGGCUUUGUAAGUCUUAGGUGAAAGCCUGGAGCUCACCUCGGCAACUGCCUGUGAGACUGCAUCGCUCGACUACGCUAGAGGUCAGUGGAAUUCCGAGUGUAGAGGUGAAAUUCGUAGA
rnacentral:rRNA from 1 species